AGGAACUACUGAUGUUUAUCUUUCCUUUUUCUUCAGUUGUGUGUCAAAGGCCCCCGAAGACAUCGAAUGCUCAGGUGAAAGAAGAAGAAGUGGGAGAUAAAUCUGAGGUGAUAUUGUGUGUGGAAGAGGGAGGUAAAGACAGAAAGAAGGUUGCUGUGGGCAUCAGAGGAAACUUUAAUCAUCAGCUGCAAGGUUUGGGGUCCAGAGGCACAAGUACAAUCCUGCAAAAGAGGCUGUUGUAGCUGCUGUUUUCAAGGUCAAGACUGAAUAUUUGAAACUCAGCUUCUAAGCGAAAACACGGAUGAGAAGUCCCUUAAGUACUUAGAAAAAUGGACAUUUGAACAUCUACAAUUCCAUGACACGAGGCAAACUUUAUAUGCUGAUGAAGAUCAUGUGAUAUAAUCAAAAGCUCCAGACCAGCUGCAAAAUGGGAUUUUUAAGGUGAGAAGAUUUGAGCUAUAGGGCUCCUAUUUUGGAGCUGCUCUCUAUAUCAUUACUGACUUUGCAGAACCAUGACAUUUUCAUUGCAUUUAUAUGAACAUAGUCAUUUUGUAUUCCAGUGCCGUAAAUGG